GGGGAUAUAGCUCAGUGGUACAGCAGGUGCCUGGCAAGUACAAAGUCCCAAGUUCAAUAUUUGGUACCA
rnacentral:tRNA from 1 species